rnacentral:rRNA from 1 species
GACGAACGCUGGCGGCGUGCUUAACACAUGCAAGUCGAGCGGUAAGGCCCUUCGGGUACACGAGCGGCGAACGGGUGAGUAACACGUGGGUGACUUGCCCCCAACUCUGGGAUAAGCCCGGGAAACUGGGUCUAAUACCGGAUAUGACCACAGAUCGCAUGAUGUGUGGUGGAAAGUUCUUCGGUUGGGGAUGGGCCCGCGGCCUAUCAGCUUGUUGGUGGGGUGAUGGCCUACCAAGGCGACGAUGCGUAGCUGGUCUGAGAGGACGAUCAGCCACACUGGGACUGAGACACGGCCCAGACUCCUACGGGAGGCAGCAGUGGGGAAUCUUGCACAAUGCGCGAAAGCGUGAUGCAGCAACGCCGCGUGGAGGAAG